ensembl:misc_RNA Metazoa_SRP Metazoan signal recognition particle RNA
GCCGGGCGCGGCGGUGCGUGCCUGUAGUCUCAGCUACUCGGGAGGCUGAGGCUGGAGAAUCACUUGAGCCCAGGAGUUCUGGGCUGUAGUGCACUAUGUUGAUCGGGUGUCUGUACUAAGUUCGGCAUCAAUAUGGUGACCUCCCGGGAGCAGGGGACCACCAGGUUGCCUAAGGAGGGGUGAACCGGCCCAGGUCGGAAAUGGAGCAGGUCAAAACUCCCAUGCUGCUCAGUAGUGGGAUCGCGCCUGUGAAUAGCCGCUGCACUCCAGCCUGGGCAACAUAACGAGAACCUGUCUCUU